CCAGACUCCUACGGGAGGCAGCAGUGAGGAAUUUUGGACAAUGGGCGAAAGCCUGAUCCAGCAAUGCCGCGUGCAGGAUGAAGGCCUUCGGGUUGUAAACUGCUUUUGUACGGAACGAAACGGUCGCCUCUAAUAAAGGCGGCUAAUGACGGUACCGUAAGAAUAGGCCCCGGCUNNCUCCGUGCCGGCAGCCGCGGUGUCGCGUGGGGUGCGGGCGUUUCUCGGAUUUGCUGGGCGUNNGGCGUGCGCGGGCGGUUNUNUGGGUCGGGUGUGNNGUCCCCGGGCUCNCCCUGGGCCCUGCCUUUGUGCCUGUUUNGCUNGNGUCCGGUNGNGGGGGNUGGNUUUCCGCGUGUGGCGGUGNNUUGCGUGGUUAUGCGGAGGNCCCCCGNUGGCGNGGGCAUUCCCCUGGCCCUGUUCUGNCGCUCGUGCCCGAANGCGUGCUCCCCAUUAGAGGCCCUCNNUNCCCNNNNUNNUCCACNCCCUNCACCCCUUCUAUUGGUGGUUGUUGGGUCUUCACUGACUCAGUAACGAAGCUAACGCGUGAAGUUGACCGCCUGGGGAGUACGGCCGCAAGGUUGGAACUCAAAGGAAUUGACGGGGGCCUAUACAAGUGGUGGAGCAUGUGGUUUAAUGCGACAAUACGCGCGAAACCUUACCAGUUCUUGACAUAAAAAAGAAAAAGUUUGAAAGGACAAUUUUGAAGAUUUUUACAGGUGCUGCAUGGCUGUCGUCAGCUCGUGUCGUGAGAUGUUAGGUUAACUCCUUUUAACGGGCGAAACCCCUUUUUUUAGUUGCCACUUAAAUUUAGUUUUAAAGCACUCUAAAAAGACUGCUCCCUUUUUUUAAUUUGGAGAGGAAGGUGGGGAUGACGUCAAGUCCUUAUGGCCCUUAUGAACUGGGCUACACACGUGCUACAAUGGUAAAGACAAUAAGAAGCAAUAGGGCAACUUGGAGCCAAUCUUUAAACUUUGCCAAAGUUCGGAUUGUGGACUGCAACUCGUCCACAUGAAGGUGGAAUCACUAGUAAUCGCACAUCAGCAUGUUGCGGUGAAAAAGUUCCUAGGCCUUGUUCUCUCCGCCCGUCA
rnacentral:rRNA from 1 species